GCGAGAGUGCUGGAACUGGCAGACGGGCCAGGCUCAAACCCUGGUGCUUGAAAGAGCGUGCGGGAUCGUAGCCCGCCUCUCGCACCA
rnacentral:tRNA from 1 species